rnacentral:rRNA from 1 species
UACGGAGGGUGCAAGCGUUGUUCGGAAUCACUGGGCGUAAAGCGCGUGUAGGCGGCCAUCUAAGUCUGGUGUGAAAGCCCUGGGCUCAACCCAGGAAGUGCACUGGAUACUGGAUGGCUGGAGUACCGGGGAGGAGGGUGGAAUUCCUGGUGUAGCGGUGAAAUGCGUAGAUAUCAGGAGGAACACCGGUGGCGAAGGCGGAUCUCUGGGCCUUGCCUGACGCUGAGGCGCGAAAGCUAGGGGAGCGAACAGG